AUCCUCUCAGGGUGGCAUCUGGAGAGUUUCCAGGACUCUACCAGUCUCGACUACGGGAGGGAGAGUCAAGCAGAGGCCAUUCCAUUCCAUUCCUAGUUUGGGCAGUGGCUAGCGAGUGGCAAGCAAUCUACUACAAGU
rnacentral:snoRNA from 1 species